AUUGAACGCUGGCGGAAUGCUUUACACAUGCAAGUCGAACGGUAGAGGGGGCAACCCCUCGAGAGUGGCGAACGGGUGAGUAAUAUAUCGGAACGUGCCCAGUCGUGGGGGAUAACGUAGCGAAAGUUACGCUAAUACCGCAUACGAUCUAAGGAUGAAAGCGGGGGAUCGCAAGACCUCGCGCGAUUGGAGCGGCCGAUAUCAGAUUAGGUAGUUGGUGGGGUAAAGGCUCACCAAGCCAACGAUCUGUAGCUGGUCUGAGAGGACGACCAGCCACACUGGAACUGAGACACGGUCCAAACUCCUACGGGAGGCAGCAGUGGGGAAUUUUGGACAAUGGACGCAAGUCUGAUCCAGCCAUUCCGCGUGCAGGAUGAAGGCCCUCGGGUUGUAAACUGCUUUUGUACGGAACGAAAAGGUCUCUCUUAAUACGGGGGGCUCAUGACGGUGCCGUAAGAAUAAGCACCGGCUAACUACGUGCCAGCAGCCGCAGUAA
rnacentral:rRNA from 1 species